rnacentral:piRNA from 1 species
UAGACAUAUGUUUAUUACCAUGACAUUGUC